GACGAACGCUGGCGGCGUGCCUAACACAUGCAAGUCGAACGGAGUUAAGACUUCGGUUUUAACUUAGUGGCGAACGGGUGAGUAACGCGUGAGAAACCUGCCUUUCAGUGGGGGACAACAGUUGGAAACGACUGCUAAUACCGCAUAAUGUUAUUUGGGGCAUCCCCGAAUAACCAAAGAUUUAUUGCUGAAAGAUGGUCUCGCGUCUGAUUAGCUAGUUGGUGAGGUAACGGCUCACCAAGGCGACGAUCAGUAGCCGGUCUGAGAGGAUGAACGGCCACAUUGGGACUGAGAUACGGCCCAG
rnacentral:rRNA from 1 species